AGAGAGAGAGAGAGAGCGGGAAUGAAGGGAGAGAGAGUGUGCGGGGGUAGGGUUUUUUUAUUUAUUUAUUUUUUUAUAAAUACUUUUAUCUAAUUAAUUAUUUUAAUAUUUUAAUAUUUUUAAUGACAUGUGGCACCCAAUCAUUGUCCAUGUGGGCACCACGUCAUCAUUUAACUGGAAACUUAAUGGUUUGACUAAUGGAUGUAUGAGAUUGUCCCAAAAUUUACACUUUAGGUAUGACUCUGAGAUGAAAAAAACUUUAUGUACUAAAUGUUGAAAAGCAUGAAAUAUUAGGGUAGUAAACAGAGUUUAACCCUAUAAAAUAUUUACAAAGAUACUUGUAGGAUGAGACGUUAAGUCAUCUAAGGCAACAACUUAACAUCAAACUAACAACAAAUGUAUGUAUCAUAAUCGCAUUCUUGUGAGUCGAACAUGAAAACUUCUCCAACCACGAUUAGUUCGCUACAAAUUCUUUUGUGCUUUUAUUAAGUUGAUAGAUAAGCGAGUGGAUUAUGUCUAGUUUUUGUAAUUAAGUUUUUUUACCUUUAAGCAAUUAUCCCAGCCCAUUAAAGUCAAUACAAUGCCAAAAUCUCCUUUAUUUGAGAUGUCAUUGUACAUUUAUACAUUAUAUAUUUUUGUGUGUGUGUGUAUAUAUAUUAGGAUAAUGCUAGGUAAACCAAAUUCAUAUUUUUAGAUAUCUAAAUUACCCUUAAUAAAUAGACUUCUUAUCUACAUUUAUUUUACAUUAUUUCAUUAAGUUAAAUGUUUUCAAAUAGCUUAUUCGGAUUUAGAAAGAAAAAUUUUAAUGUCAUAAUUUCUAUGCAUAUUAGUAACAAAAAUUACGUGAUAUCGGAGUUUUGUUUUCAAAUAUUAUAAAUGUAAUAUAGUUGUUUCACAUUUGUGUAAAAUUGAGCAUUUUUUGGCUCCUUUCCAAAUGAUGCUAACAUGUAAAUUAGUAUAUCUUACAAAUAUAAAAUUGUUAGCUUGGUGCGUACGAUUCUCAAUAAGGAUUUUUGUAGCUUCAGGUGAGGAGGGUUUUAUUCA
rnacentral:lncRNA from 1 species